AGCAGCCGCGGUAAUUCCAGCUCCAAUAGCGUAUAUUAAUGUUGCUGCAGUUAAAAAGCUCGUAGUUGGAUUUCUGGCUUGGCGCUCUUGGCCCGCCACGGUUACGUGUGUGAGUGCUGGGUAGCGCCUGCCAUCCUUCUAGGCAGCACGUCUGCUCUUCAUUGAGUGGAUAUGUCGCCUAGAUCUUUUACUUUGAAAAAAU
rnacentral:rRNA from 1 species